UUUGGUUUAGCUGAAUGCCUUC
rnacentral:siRNA from 1 species